rnacentral:rRNA from 1 species
CUACGUGCCAGCAGCCGCGGUAAUACGUAGGUGGCGAGCGUUAUCCGGAAUUAUUGGGCGUAAAGGGUGCGUAGGCGGCCUGUUAAGUAAGUGGUUAAAUUGUUGGGCUCAACCCAAUCCAGCCACUUAAACUGGCAGGCUAGAGUAUUGGAGAGGCAAGUGGAAUUCCAUGUGUAGCGGUAAAAUGCGUAGAUAUAUGGAGGAACACCAGUGGCGAAGGCGGCUUGCUAGCCAAAGACUGACGCUCAUGCACGAAAGCGUGGGGAGCAAAUAGGAUUAGAUACCCUAGUAGUCCACGCCGUAAACGAUGAAUACUAAGUAUUGGGGAAACUCAGUGCUGCAGCUAACGCAAUAAGUAUUCCGCCUGUGGAGUAUGCACGCAAGUGUGAAACAUAAAGGAAUUGACGGGGGCCCGCACAAGCGGUGGAGUAUGUGGUUUAAUUCGAUGCAACGCGAAGAACCUUACCUUCUCUUGACAUCCAGA